CCGGCCCGCGCGCUGCUUUCCAAUACCGCUGGUCAUUGGUUUAGAGGCUCAGAAAGCGAAGCGCGCUCUAGCAAUAGGGAGUAAUUUGAUCCUCGGCAGUUACCAUCUUACACGCUAGUUUCGUUCUUUCAAAUACUUUAAUUCACGUCGGGACCGGAUGGGAGUUGUAGUUUUUGCCGGUUGGAAUUGGGAAGUUCCGGCCAAAUUCUCGAGGCGGUUGAGCAAUCUUCUCCACGCGGGCGGGGCAGGGGGUUGACACAGUUUAGAUUAUAGGUUUGUUGUUGCCUCAGGAGUUCGUUUCUAUUUUAAUUUUCUUUAAUCCUACAUCAAAAUACGUCAUGGGAACUAACACAAAACACAGACACCAAAUAAAGCCUGUAAAGACACAGAAAAAGAUUAUGAAAUCCAAAGUGGAUGAAGAGAGAUGCAGAAAGAGUUUAAAGAAAUGAAAUAUUUCCAUUUGUUUUGUUUAUUCUUUUUUUAUUGAUUUUCUGUGAGCUGCUGUGGGAGAUUUCUAGGCUACAGAGCAAGAUAAAAAAAACUUUAAAAAAUUAAAAAUAUGAUUUAUUGCUGGUUUGCAUCUUUUUUAUAUUCUUCAGUUUUUACUCCAUCUAUUAAUUCAAUGGCUUCCAAAACAAGAUGUUGAUUCUGCUAAAGUCUAUUCUGUCUCUCUCUUUCUCACAAUCACACGUAAACACAAACACACACACAUAGGGGAGAGAGAGAAGAUAGUUGGUCUUUCUGCAUUUACCACUAAACCAGUAUAGGAAAGGGUCCAGGAGCCUUCCUUGUGUAUCUUGGUAUUAUCCAAGGGAAGCUCUACCCCCUGUUAGUAUGCUCCAUCCAAUGUGAACUAGGUGGUCCAAAAUGGUUGCUUAGUCUAGGAUACCAGUAGACCUUUUUAAAAAGGUAUACUGACAGACUAAUGGUCGCUAACCCAGACCACAGAGACAUGUGGAUGCAGCAGCCACCAUAGUCCAGUUUUCCACAGGGGACUCAGUUUGACUAUGUGCCUUGCUGUGCCAUCUAAAUAGGUCCUCUGAGGGCUCCAAGACCAGUUCUUGGCCAUCGGAGCUGAUACGGGGGUUGUCCCAGAACAACCAUUCAAAUGUGAACAAACUUGUUCCAAGACAGGUGGACCACUUCAGAUGAGAGACCAUUCCAGCUGAUCCAAUCCCACUGAAGCAGUC
rnacentral:lncRNA from 1 species